AGCGAACGCUGGCGGCAGGCCUAACACAUGCAAGUCGAACGAAGUCUUCGGACUUAGUGGCGGACGGGUGAGUAACACGUGGGAACGUGCCUUUCGGUUCGGAAUAACUCAGGGAAACUUGUGCUAAUACCGAAUGUGCCCUUCGGGGGAAAGAUUUAUCGCCUUUGGAGCGGCCCGCGGCGGAGUAGCUAGUUGGUGAGGUAACGGCUAAACAAGGCGACGAUCAGUAGCUGGUCUGAGAGGAUGAUCAGCCACAUUGGGCCUGAGACACGGUACAAACUCCUACGGGAGGCAGGAGUGGGGAAUCUUGCGCAAUGGGCGAAAGCCUGACGCAGCCAGGCCGCGUGAAUGAUGAAGGUCUUAGGAUUGUAAAAUUCUUUCACCGGGGACGAUAAUGACGGUACCCGGAGAAGAAGCCCCGGCUAACUUCGUGCCAGCCGCCGCCGUAA
rnacentral:rRNA from 1 species